GUGGUGUGGACUUGGGAAUGGAAUCAGCCGCUGCCUUGUGGCGUUUUGCAUGGUCCCUUGUCGAGGCCAGGCCCGAAAGGGCCUGCUCCCCUGGGCCUUAAAGGCUUCGGGAAGGAUCGCGGGGAGUCGCGGGGGACAAGAUGGCGGCGGGCGGCCCUCCCUGUGAUGAGGACCCUUUCACAGACCUGUGCUGAGCUCCGUGAGGACAAGUAACUCUGAGGAGCCGGGCCUGCACGGCCGCUGCCAGCCCCGGGCUGCUCGGCGCGCCCCACGUGCCCGCCUGACCCCUGGUUCUCCCUGCAGGACUCGGAGGUUGCCCUUGCAGGCUCGGGAGGCGGCCCGCUGCUCAAUGGGGUCCAGCUCGAGGAGGCCUCCUGCGUGGACCAUGCGGCCACCUCCGUGCGUCCCCGCGACGCUCCAGUGUCUCAUACCGGGUCCGGAGGAACUCCGUAGCUGGCCAGAGUGAACGCAGGCUCUCCUGGUGGAGUUCUCUGAUGGUGGCCUAGGCCUGGGUUUCUCCGGAGUCUUCAGAGCAAGAAGGUCCUGUCACUGCUGGCGACCCGCUCCCUGUGCACAGCAUGCUGCGAUUCCACCAGGUGAGUGGCUGCCACAUGCACUGCGGGAAAUCCUAAACUGGCUUGGCACAGGCUCCUUCCUGGGCGCACGUGAUGACUUCCAUGGAAUCUCGUUCGGCUGAUGGUGUACUGUUGAGACUCGGAAAUCUGAUAACACAUCUUUGGUAGAUUGCACAUUAUUUUGGUGCAAGUGACCCUGAUGGGCUCCAUCUUUUUGUUUUAGGUACAGAACUUUGAAGACCACCACAGUUGAUCUGAGAUGUGCUUUCCUGUCUUGCAGUGAAGCCGAGCUGUGUUACUGCUGAAUUCGCCUGACUUCACCUGCAGGUGAAGGUAAGCAGUCUUGAAUGCCCAGUGGGCUGAACUGGGAUGUCCCAAUGAGGAAACACUCCCACGUCUAACUUCCUGUCCUGGUCCCAGAGCCUGCAAAGGUGAACCCACUGGGGCUGGCUGGGGGAAAAGAGGAGAACCCGUUCCGGAAGGAACUGUCUGAGGGACAAAGCCUGUGCAUAGGAAGAAACUUCAUUAUGGCACCUGCUCAGAUAACUCGUUUUUUAUUUCCAGGCCUGAAUAAAAAACAAGCUGCGUGUAUAUAUAGAAGGUAGGUAUCGAGCAUUUAAUGUGUAGCUUCUGGACACGGACACCCCUUGCAUUG